rnacentral:lncRNA from 1 species
GUUUGGUGUUUUGAUUCAAAGUUUUGAUUUAUUUCAUAAAGUUUAUGUAUAUUUUUCAAAUGUUUAAAUGUGUUAGAUAUUUAUUUAGAAAGAUGUAAGAAAUAUUGGUGGGUGUGUAAGGAUUAAUUCCCUUUCACACACACCACUUGCAUGACAUUUAUGUCAUGCACCACUUGCAUGCUUUAUGUCUAAAACUACAAAUCAACACACACAUCACUCCCUUCUAUCUAAAACCGGCCACCCUAUUAAAAUAGGGUACUUUUGGGGCUUUUAUGUAAUUACAUAAAGUUUUGAUACUUUUGUGUUUUUGCACUUUGGCCCAAAAGUUUACGUUUUUACGUUUAGGUCCAAAAACGCUAAAGGAAAAAUUGUUUUGCUCCUUUAAUGAAGUUUUUGCAUUUGUUGAAAUUUUUGGGUUCUAGUUGUAAUUACAUGAAGUAGUGGACUUUUGUGUUUUUACAAAGUGACCCCAAAAGUUUAUGUUUUUGCAAUAUAGCCCAAAAGUUGAGGUUAUUGCAUUUUGGCCCAAAUUAAGUUGAGAACCAAAUUGUUUUGUCUCUUUAAAUGAGAAUUGGAUUUUCAUUUCAUUUAGCUCCAUUUAAAUCAAUUUUAUGGAUACAAAAACCAAAUGAAAAUGUUGCAUUCAAUUUAAUUAGUUAAAGUGUUAAUUAAUUAAAGGGUGAUUAUGAACCUAAGCUUACGAUAAUUGAGCUAUGUGAAAGGCCGUUUCAAAUUUGUUUGAACCAUAGGAAUGUGUAGAUAAGAUUUUGGUUGUAAUUUGAUUUGAUCAAAUGUUGUAAAAGAGCAUAAGCUUUUCUUUACUUUAAAGUAAUUUGUUUUAUUCAAAUGUUGUAAAGAGCAUAAGCUCAUCUUUACUUUGAAGUACUCCUUUCUUAUAUUAUUUGAUAUGCAUGAAAAUGGAGUAGAGGGUCCAACGCCCCUAAGACAACACGCCUUAAUGUGAUUAAAUGCGUAACUAAAAUCAAUCACCAUCCCUAGACCGAGAUUCAACACUAGGCUCGUGUUGAAUCUAAACAAAGGUUCAUAGUCAUCCUAAGGCCCUAAGACAACUAUAUAGUCCAUGAAAUGAAUGCAAAGUUUAUGUUAGUAGUAUCAUAUACUCUGGCUUUAAAAACCGUUUUAUAAGCAUAGUGGGAGUAUUAUAUACAACUAAAUUCAAUCAAAUGGACCAAUUGUUGUAAUAGGACCAAAAUUGUUUUAAUAAAGAUUAAAAUGAAUAUUUAUAUGUGAUGAGACCUAAAAACCCUCAACCAAACCAUUAUUAAGUUGAUAACCGAGAGAUGCUUUGAACAUCUCUUCGUAGGCCUUCCACCAUGGUGGGCUUCAAUCGUUUGUGACUCAUACACCAUAUUCGUCCAGUUCAAGGGUAUGCAAAGUAUGUGCUUACAUUAAGGAGAAGCCUAUAAACAUAUGAUGAAGUGAAGGUAGGCAACGAGUAUGGUCAAUAUGAUAUUCUUCUGAGGCCAUUCUUGAACCCCUACUUGAACUAGCAUGGUGGGAAUGACUUAACUAAGUGCAAUGGUGCCAAUAUGAUAUUCUUCUGAGGCAUCAUUUUCUAGAGGCCAAAUUAAGAUGGGUAAUUACAAAAGUUGUAAAUGAGCUAAAGCGUUAUCUCUCUCAUCAUUAUUGUUGCUAGACAAUAUGAUAUUCUUCUGAGGUGGGCUUGGUAAUGGUGAGUCUCCCAUACCGUACUAAGAGUUUCAUCCAAAACUCUCGAAUUCCAAUGAGGGAUAUGGAAUUUGCCAAAAAUAGUGGGUGGUGCUAUUUGAUUUAAAGACCCGGAUCAAAUGGCUGAAAAUCAAUCAAUUUAUAUUCGUUAUGUAUUUGUUUACCAAUAUAUUUGAAAACGCUAUCCAAAACUUGACUAAGAAAAGCCGAAUGCUUUAGUUUCCGGACUUGGUACCACAAUCCCAAAGAUUGUCUUAAAUUGAUUGUAUAUGUACCUAAGUAGUCUAAUCCUCACAAUCUUCCUAUUGAUAAUGUAUCAUUGGAAGAACAUGUUAGAUAAGUCUAUCAUAAAGAGGACAACACUUUUAAUGUCAUAGUUCUUCACUUACAAAUCGUUGUAUGAAGAAAUAAGAGUUGUUUUGAACAACCCUUAGCUAAUGCAAACACUAGUGCUUGUUUCUUUGUUAUAUGAACAAAGAACUUGAGAAGAAAGCACAAGGGCAUGGACACUUUAUGUGCCAUGAUUCUUCACUUAUAAAUUGUUGUAUGAAGAAAUGAGAGUUGCCUUGAACAACUCUUGAAAGUUUGUAAUUAUGUUUAGAACAUAAUGGUUGGUUGACAAAAAUAGUCCAUCAACAUGGACUUAUGAUGAUUUUGAAUCAUUGAGUGUUGAAGUGUUAAACCACUUCUAGAAAACGGAAACUAGGCAAGGACUUCACCUUUGUGUCCCUAUCCAAAUGGUUCACUAAGUUUAUUGUAAACUAUAUAGUGAACAAUAACCACACACUCUCCAAAUCGUUUGAUGUGUAUCACACAAUUGAAAUAAGUUUCAAGAGAGAUAGUGGGAGUUUAGGGACCAUGACUAUUGUAGUCAAAGGAGAAGUCAAAAGAAGAAACCGAAAUAACUCCAAAGGGAACAAACUUUCUUUAUGAAAGGAUGGACAUUGGAAGGGGUAUUUGCAAGAAAUGUCUUGCAAGUGUCAAGAACACGCCUUUCGAAGGUGUUGUAAAUUGUUCUUGAAUAGUUCAAAAUAGUUGGUUCUUCUACUUGAAUGCUUGAUUCCGUAUUAGUAACUAUGUUUUACAAUCGUUGUAAAAGUGUGGCUAAUAAGAAGUAGAAGAUUAAUGAGAGAAGAGAAAGUACUUCACAUUCGAAACGUGAAUAAACUAUAGAUCUCUGCGAAAGCAGUUAGUACUUACUUCCUCAUAUGAACUACCAAAGAAAAUGGAAAAACAAAGAUUGUCUUUACAUUCCAAUUGAAUAAAGGAACUUAAUUCCGUAUGGUAAAUGGAUAAAUGUUUUGUUUGACAAAACAUUGUUCUUUAUUAAUGAAUGAUUAGAUUAUUGUAAUCUAAUUGAUUGUAUCUAUAGUAGAGAUGAUAUGGUAGUGUUAACUGUUUAGAAUAUAACGAUGCUUAAAACCCAAAAGGUUGCAAGGUAGUGACUAAUCCCAACUGAGUUGUGAUACCUCAAAAACAUGAAAUACGAGUUGGUCAUAGAUGGAUGCUUUGGAUCGUUAGAUCCGGAUCCAACACCUUCUUAUUAAAAUUGUAUAAAGGCGAAAUGUUCGAAUCUUUAUUCUUUUGGAAAGAAGAAAGAAUCACAAAGUUGUUGAGGUUAAUUCACUUAGAUGUUAGUGGCACUUGUCCACAACAUAAAACUACUCAUGUUGUAUGACAUCCACCGAAGAUCACUCUCGGUUGGACUAUAGUUUAUUUUGAAUAAACACAAGUCCAAAUACUUUGCUAAAGGUUUCAAAGAAUUCAAGAAAUGUAAGUUGAUGAGUAAGACGUCUAAAGUAUUUGCCUCCUUAGAUUUGAUCCAAGGAAAGAUAACACUUUAGAACAGUUUCCUUGAAUAAUAUCAACGAAAGAAGCAUCAAAAGAUAAUGGAUUUCUCCAUUAGGAGAAGAACGAACUUGAAUAAGAUUUAGUUCGUUGGAUGUUAUCAAUUACCCAUAUAUAGGAUAUAUGCUUCUAAGACAAUAUGAUUGUCAAUUAGAAGAUCUUCCAAAAUUUUUCAUGA